CGAGUGCGUAGGGACCGGAAGUUAGUGGGGCCGCGGCGCCGGAUUUGUCGCGCUCUCUCUUGCCAAGCAGCUGCGCGCUGCGUACCUCCCAGCUCCCCCGGUCCCCGCACCUACGCGGGAUUCACGCACGACUCGUGGCGGCGGCUGCGGCAGCACAACGCGGGGCGGCAGCGGGCGCGGGCCGUGCCCCGCCUUCUGUGCCGUUCGAUGGUGAUGGUCGUGAUGGAAAUGGACCCGGGAGGGCCGAGGCCACGCCCUCGGGAAGAGACACACGCCCACUGUGGCCACGCCCCUGCGUGCACACUGUGUUUGGAGCCCUGUGAGGGCAUUCGGAGGAAUUUGGAAGGGGCAGCAUUAUGAAGAAGGCGUGGUCUAGCGUGACCCCAGUCCCUCUGCGCAGCCCCAGCCCCCAGGGCCCCACCCUGCAGUCCCCGCUCCCUCUGUCCCACCCACUGCCUCACCCUGCACUUCCUGGGGGCGGAGCCAAAGGAACUCCUUCCAAUGGGCGGGACUGGCCCCAGGGCCAUUGGACAGACGAGCUGCUGCAGGGCUGUGGGGUGGAGCCUGAGUGAAGCCACACCCCCUCAGGCAACGACGUAGCGCUGUGCCACGUUCAGCGGCGGCGAGUAACCAUCAGCGUACGAUGUGUCCUCAAACAGCACUGAGUAGUCGUCCUGGGGCUGCAAUUUUGGGCACAGGGACGGACCGUGGCACGGAGAUGCA